GUUACUUUUAGUAUAUACUGCAUGUCAACUUUCUGCAAAUUAAGAUAUAGCUCAUUUUUAUUUCUUUCUGCAGAAUAUUUUUCCUUAUACAGCAUUGCACAGCAUUUCUACACUGUGGAUCAGACAGACAAGAACUUCAGUUAAUAUCCUCGAGGCAAUUUGAGACCUUGCAAUGCCCAGCUGUCUACCCUGCUGUCUCUGCCAAAGAGGCAAUGAAGUGGAAUCCACCAGUCUUAUCAUGGCUCCAGGUUCUCCUGAAAGGAAAGGGACACCUGUCUGAAGAAAUUUACCCUGGGCAGAAAAGAGGUUGAGCACAUGACUUUCCCUGCUAUGUCUCAAGGAUCUCUGAAAAACCAUACAGGCAAAAAAGAUCUGUCAGUGCAGUGCUACAAGAAGCAACUUGAACAAAAGUUAAAUUGAGGAUGUGGUGUGGUACGGUAUUUGCUUGGACUGAUAAUUUCUGGCUGAUCAAGGUUUGAAUGCUUUGAAUGGGCUUCAUUUGGAACCUGGAUGUACGUCACAGUGAUUUACAAUUGAUAUGAUACUCUGAUACCGUUACUCACUGUACAGCUCCACAUAGCAUAAUAUAUAAAACCUGCACCAUGUUAAAAGGCGAGCUGACAAUCACCUCCAAACAUUUAUUUUGUGGCACAAAUGCUAGCUUUUUCCCAAAGCCAGAAUGCUGUCUCCCACCAUAAACGCUACACAUAAAUACUAUAUAAUGGGAACAAGGUGUCAGCUGGAGGCUUGCAGGCUCUAUUUAGUUCUUACUUUUUUUUUUUUCCACAUUUCUUGACAUAUAGCACUGUAGUUGUGCCACUGUUAGGCUGACUGAAAUGCUAAUUUCCAAAUAGAUGCAGUAAGACUUAUAUCUAUGUUGUGCCUUCAGAUAAAGAGGCAUAAAAUCUGAGAAAAAGCAUCACAGCCAGGCUGGGAUUAUUAUUGAUCUGGUGAUAAUUAGUUUCUUUGUAAAAGUGAACUUCCAGGUUUGCCAUUUCUAUUUAUAUAGAACGUCAG
rnacentral:lncRNA from 1 species